rnacentral:lncRNA from 1 species
GUAGACUUCAUUUGCAGAAAAAAAUGACAGCAGAUAUCUAAGGAGGCAAUCGAAAAUCCAUACUCAAUGAAAGCGAAAAUACAAAAAUAAAGAAUAUCGACGAAAAGACAAACAAUCGUCACAGAAAACCAAAGACUAAACAACACGAACCAAUAUCCAGAACGUAAUGUUAGCAUGGUCAUGUAUAUUGACCUUCGCAUGGUUUGUUUUGGUUGUUGCACAAGAGUUUGACAGUUUAUUGUUACCAUUUUUUUUCCUAUUCGGUACAUAUAUUAUUUUGAUUUGACCUUUUUU